rnacentral:rRNA from 1 species
GGGGAUGCAAGCGUUAUCCGGAAUCAUUGGGCGUAAAGCGCCUGUAGGUUGUCUAAUAAGUCUGUUGUUAAAGACUAGGGCUUAACCCUAGGAAAGCAAUGGAAACUGCUAGGCUUGAGUAUGGUAGGGGUAGAGGGAAUUUCUAGUGUAGCGGUGAAAUGCGUAGAUAUUAGAAAGAACACCAGUGGCGAAAGCGCUCUACUGGGCCAUUACUGACACUGAGAGGCGAAAGCUAGGGGAGCGAAAGGGAUUAGAUACCCCUGUAGUCCUAGCCGUAAACGAUGGAUACUAGGUGUUGUGUUUAUAUACAGUAUCGUAGCUAACGCGUUAAGUAUCCCGCCUGGGGAGUACGCUCGCAAGGGUGAAACUCAAAGGAAUUGACGGGGGCCCGCACAAGCGGUGGAGCAUGUGGUUUAAUUCGAUGCAACGCGAAGAACCUUACCAGGGCUUGACAUACUACAAAUCUUUUGGAGACAAAAGAGUACCUUUGGGAAUGUAGAUACAGGUGGUGCAUGGCUGUCGUCAGCUCGUGUCGUGAGAUGUUGGGUUAAGUCCCGCAACGAGCGCGCACCCCUCGUUUUUAGUUGCCAAUUUAUUGGGAUUUCUAGAAAGACUGCCGGUGAUAAACCGGAGGAAGGUGAGGAUGACGUCAAGUCAGCAUGCCCCUUAUGUCCUGGGCCACACACGUGCUACAAUGGCAAAGACAAAGAGUCGCAAAUUCGCGAGGACUAGCUA